rnacentral:rRNA from 1 species
GAUGAACGCUGGCUACAGGCUUAACACAUGCAAGUCGAGGGGAAACGACGGGGAAGCUUGCUUCCCCGGGCGUCGACCGGCGCACGGGCGAGUAACGCGUAUCCAACCUGCCUCUGACUGAGGGAUAACCCGUCGAAAGUCGGCCUAAUACCUCAUGGUAUCGUCUGCGGGCAUCCAACGACGAUUAAAGAUUUCAUCGGUCAGGGAUGGGGAUGCGUCUGAUUAGCUUGUUGGCGGGGUAACGGCCCACCAAGGCUACGAUCAGUAGGGGUUCUGAGAGGAAGGUCCCCCACAUUGGACCUGAGACACGGUUCAAACUCCUACGGGAGGCAGCAGUGAGGAAUAUUGGUCAAUGGGCGAGAGCCUGAACCAGCCAAGUAGCGUGCAGGAAGACGGCCCUAUGGGUUGUAAACUGCUUUUAUGCGGGGAUAAAGUGAGGGACGUGUCCCUCAUUGCAGGUACCGCAUGAAUAAGGACCGGCUAAUUCCGUG